rnacentral:rRNA from 1 species
GUGGGGAAUUUUGGACAAUGGGCGAAAGCCUGAUCCAGCAAUGCCGCGUGUGUGAAGAAGGCCUUCGGGUUGUAAAGCACUUUUGGCAGGGAAGAAACAGUGCGUGCUAAUACCAUGCGCGAAUGACGGUACCUGCAGAAUAAGCACCGGCUAACUACGUGCCAGCAGCCGCGGUAAUACGUAGGGUGCAAGCGUUAAUCGGAAUUACUGGGCGUAAAGCGUGCGCAGGCGGCUUUGUAAGACGGAUGUGAAAGCCCCGGGCUCAACCUGGGAAGUGCAUUCGUGACUGGAAGCUAGAGUGUGUCAGAGGGAGGUGGAAUUCCGCGUGUAGCAGUGAAAUGCGUAGAGAUGCGGAGGAACACCGAUGGCGAAGGCAGCCUCCUGGGAUAACACUGACGCUCAGGCACGAAAGCGUGGGGAGCAAACAGGAUUAGAUACCCUAGUAGUCC